UCCCUGGUGGCUCAGUGGUAAAGAAUCUGCCUGCCAAUGCAGGAGACACAGGUUCAAUCCCCGAUCUGGGAA
rfam:TPA: Bos taurus chromosome 22, whole genome shotgun sequence.